GUAACUCCCAACCCCUGUGACAUACCAAUUGUUGCCUCGGCGGAUCAGCCCGCUCCCGGUAAAACGGGACGGCCCGCCAGAGGACCCCUAAACUCUGUUUCUAUAUGUAACUUCUGAGUAAAACCAUAAAUAAAUCAAAACUUUCAACAACGGAUCUCUUGGUUCUGGCAUCGAUGAAGAACGCAGCAAAAUGCGAUAAGUAAUGUGAAUUGCAGAAUUCAGUGAAUCAUCGAAUCUUUGAACGCACAUUGCGCCCGCCAGUAUUCUGGCGGGCAUGCCUGUUCGAGCGUCAUUUCAACCCUCAAGCCCAGCUUGGUGUUGGGACUCGCGAGUCAAAUCGCGUUCCCCAAAUUGAUUGGCGGUCACGUCGAGCUUCCAUAGCGUAGUAGUAAAACCCUCGUUACUGGUAAUCGUCGCGGCCACGCCGUUAAACCCCAACUUCUGAAUGUUGACCUCGGAUCAGGUAGGAAUACCCGCUGAACUUAAGCAUAUCAAAA
rnacentral:rRNA from 1 species